rnacentral:rRNA from 1 species
UUAAGUGACUAAGCGUACACGGUGGAUGCCUAGGCAGUCAGAGGCGAUGAAGGGCGUGCUAAUCUGCGAAAAGCGUCGGUAAGGUGAUAUGAACCGUUAUAACCGGCGAUACCCGAAUGGGGAAACCCAGUGUGUUUCGACACACUAUCAUGUCAUGAAUACAUAGUGGCAUGAGGCGAACCGGGGGAACUGAAACAUCUAAGUACCCCGAGGAAAAGAAAUCAACCGAGAUUCCCCCAGUAGCGGCGAGCGAACGGGGAGGAGCCCAGAACCUGAAUCGGCUUGUGUGUUAGUGGAAGCGUCUGGAAAGUCGCGCAGCAAAGGGUGAUAGCCCCGUACACUAAAAUGCACAGGUCGUGAGUUCGAUGAGUAGGGCGGGACACGUGACAUCCUGUCUGAAUAUGGGGGGACCAUCCUCCAAGGCUAAAUACUCCUGACUGACCGAUAGUGAACCAGUACCGUGAGGGAAAGGCGAAAAGAACCCCGGCGAGGGGAGUGAAAUAGAACCUGAAACCGUGUACGUACAAGCAGUGGGAGCACCUUCGUGGUGUGACUGCGUACCUUUUGUAUAAUGGGUCAGCGACUUAUAUUUUGUAGCAAGGUUAACCGUAUAGGGGAGCCGUAGGGAAACCGAGUCUUAACUGGGCGAUUAGUUGCAAGGUAUAGACCCGAAACCCGGUGAUCUAGCCAUGGGCAGGUUGAAGGUUGGGUAACACUAACUGGAGGACCGAACCGACUAAUGUUGAAAAAUUAGCGGAUGACUUGUGGCUGGGGGUGAAAGGCCAAUCAAACCGGGAGAUAGCUGGUUCUCCCCGAAAGCUAUUUAGGUAGCGCCUCGUGAACUCAUCUUCGGGGGUAGAGCACUGUUUCGGCUAGGGGGCCAUCCCGGCUUACCAAACCGAUGCAAACUCCGAAUACCGAAGAAUGUUAUCACGGGAGACACACGGCGGGUGCUAACGUCCGUCGUGAAGAGGGAAACAACCCAGACCGCCAGCUAAGGUCCCAAAGUCAUGGUUAAGUGGGAAACGAUGUGGGAAGGCAUAGACAGCCAGGAUGUUGGCUUAGAAGCAGCCAUCAUUUAAAGAAAGCGUAAUAGCUCACUGGUCGAGUCGGCCUGCGCGGAAGAUGUAACGGGGCUAAACCAUGCACCGAAGCUGCGGCAGCGACGCUUAGGCGUUGUUGGGUAGGGGAGCGUUCUGUAAGCCGUUGAAGGUGGCCUGUGAGGGUUGCUGGAGGUAUCAGAAGUGCGAAUGCUGACAUAAGUAACGAUAAAGCGGGUGAAAAGCCCGCUCGCCGGAAGACCAAGGGUUCCUGUCCAACGUUAAUCGGGGCAGGGUGAGUCGACCCCUAAGGCGAGGCUGAAAAGCGUAGUCGAUGGGAAACAGGUUAAUAUUCCUGUACUUGGUGUUACUGCGAAGGGGGGACGGAGAAGGCUAGGCUGGCCGGGCGACGGUUGUCCCGGUUUAAGCGUGUAGGGGGUGUGACCUGGUAAAUCCGGUUGCAUACUAACCCUGAGGCGUGAUGACGAUGCACUACGGUGCAGAAGUAGUUGAUGCCCUGCUUCCAGGAAAAUCCUCUAAGCUCCAGGUAACAUUAAAUCGUACCCCAAACCGACACAGGUGGUCAGGUAGAGAAUACCAAGGCGCUUGAGAGAACUCGGGUGAAGGAACUAGGCAAAAUGGUGCCGUAACUUCGGGAGAAGGCACGCUGGCAUGUAGGUGAAGUCCCUCGCGGAUGGAGCUGAAGCCAGUCGAAGAUACCAGCUGGCUGCAACUGUUUAAUAAAAACACAGCACUGUGCAAACACGAAAGUGGACGUAUACGGUGUGACGCCUGCCCGGUGCUGGAAGGUUAAUUGAUGGGGUCAGCCGCAAGGCGAAGCUCUUGAUCGAAGCCCCAGUAAACGGCGGCCGUAACUAUAACGGUCCUAAGGUAGCGAAAUUCCUUGUCGGGUAAGUUCCGACCUGCACGAAUGGCGUAAUGAUGGCCAGGCUGUCUCCACCCGAGACUCAGUGAAAUUGAACUCGCUGUGAAGAUGCAGUGUACCCGCGGCAAGACGGAAAGACCCCGUGAACCUUUACUAUAGCUUGACACUGAACAUUGAGCCUUGAUGUGUAGGAUAGGUGGGAGGCUUUGAAGCGUGGACGCCAGUCUGCGUGGAGCCAUCCUUGAAAUACCACCCUUUAAUGUUUGAUGUUCUAACUCGGCCCCGUGAUCCGGGGUGAGGACAGUGUCUGGUGGGUAGUUUGACUGGGGCGGUCUCCUCCCAAAGAGUAACGG